CCAUCGAUCAGUUCAAUACUCAGCUAUUAUCACGGAGAGUUUGGCAUUGAAUCAGGUAUGGCAUCUGGUCCAGGCAGGAAGAGAUAUGGAACAUGCUAGUAAGGGAAGGGAAUAGAAUCCUUUCGCGAAAAGGGAUACGAGAAGUACGGGAAUCUGUUCAGUUAGCCGUCCCAAAACAAUUGAAUCAGGCAGUCAUCGGACAGUAGGAAAUCAAAUCCACUUUCUUGGGUGCGUACAUUCUCC
rnacentral:lncRNA from 1 species